UACAGAGGGUACAAGCGUUGUUCGGAAUUACUGGGCGUAAAGCGCGUGUAGGCGGCGGCGUUAGUCGGAUGUGAAAUCCCUCAGCUCAACUGAGGAAGUGCAUUCGAUACUGCGUCGCUUGAAUGUCGGAGGGGAUGGCGGAAUUCCCGGUGUAGAGGUGAAAUUCGUAGAUAUCGGGAGGAACACCUGUGGCGAAGGCGGCCAUCUGGACGACGAUUGACGCUGAGACGCGAAAGCGUGGGUAGCAAACAGG
rnacentral:rRNA from 1 species